rnacentral:rRNA from 1 species
GGUGAGUAACACGUGGAUAACCUACCUAUAAGACUGGGAUAACUUCGGUAAACCGGAGCUAAUACCGGAUAAUAUAUUGAACCGCAUGGUUCAAUAGUGAAAGACGGUUUUGCUGUCACUUAUAGAUGGAUCCGCGCCGCAUUAGCUAGUUGGUAAGGUAACGGCUUACCAAGGCAACGAUGCGUAGCCGACCUGAGAGGGUGAUCUGCCACACUGGAACUGAGACACGGUCCAG